AACAACAACCUUACCGAAGACCGAGUUGUUCAUGAGUUUGAAGAAGUUCUUCUCGAAAGCAGUCUUGGCUUGUUGUCGCAUUUUGGUGUUGAACUCAACGUAGGGUUUCAUGAAAGCCUCUUGUUGGAACUCUAAUACUUUAUGUAUUUUUUUCAAUUUUAGACCGAGUUGGAGAUACAGUUGCAGGUUGCGAUAGUGAAGUACAUAAUUCUGUUUGUUUUCUAAAGUGAAGGUUGACUGUUUUGUAAACUUCCAUCACAUUUAGAGAGUAGAAAUACAAUGGGGGUUUGAUGUGGAAAGAUGUCUGUACGAAGUUUAUAUAACGGGUUAGAAUGUGGACUUACAUCCACCAGAAGCUUGGGGAUGUCUCGCCAGAACUUAGACAGAAUGCUGGAGAACUACGAUACAACUUCACAUUAACAUCCACUUGGUUUAACAGAUCGAGAUAGUCCAUCGAAUUCUGACCACUGAUUUGAAACUCAAUGGGAGUAUCAUCCGACACUUGGGAUAUUGGACGAAUCUCUUGAUAAUGGACAUCAUUCACCGCAACUUGUGUAGGAGCUCACUUUUCGCCUGGUUUACUGUCUGUUCCGAUGGGGAAACUGUGCUGAUUGUCAUACCAUUACUUCCCAUCUUCGACUUGUGUGGAAUGGCAAAUCCCCUCCCAACUUGAGAUCAUCCGGGGAUAUCGCCAUAUUGAAAACCCGCCAGAGGUUCGGUCCACGUCCAUGGUGCUCGGGAUGAGUCAUUGGAGGACGAAGAUCGGGUGUCCUUAUGCUGCCAUGAAAUGUCGUUUUCAUGAUGUCCAAUUAUGUUCAAAAAUAAACAACUUGGAGAAUGUG